rnacentral:rRNA from 1 species
UCUGGCGUAGUUCACUCGUGCCGUGAGGUGUUAGGUUAAGUCCUGCAACGAGCGCAACCCCUGUCACUAGUUGCCAUCAUUAAGUUGGGGACUCUAGUGAGACUGCCUACGCAAGUAGAGAGGAAGGUGGGGAUGACGUCAAAUCAUCACGGCCCUUACGCCUUGGGCCACACACGUAAUACAAUGGCCGGUACAGAGGGCAGCUACACAGCGAUGUGAUGCAAAUCUCGAAAGCCGGUCUCAGUUCGGAUUGGAGUCUGCAACUCGACUCUAUGAAGCUGGAAUCGCUAGUAAUCGCGCAUCAGCCAUGGCGCGGUGAAUACGUUCCCGGGCCUUGUACACACCGCCCGUCAAGCCAUGGAAGUCUGGGGUACCUGAAGUCGGUGACCGUAACAGGAGCUCCUCUCUUGGCG